rnacentral:rRNA from 1 species
GGUGCUAACGUCCGGACUCAAAAGGGAAACAACCCAGACCGCCGGCUAAGGUCCCUAAUAUUGACUAAGUGGAAAACGAAGUGGGAAGGCUAAGACAGUCAGGAAGUUGGCUUAGAAGCAGCCAUCCUUCAAAGAAAGCGUAAUAGCUCACUGAUCGAGUCUUCCUGCGCGGAAGAUGUAACGGGGCUAAGUCAAUAACCGAAGCCGCGGAUUCGCAGCAAUGCGAGUGGUAGGGGAGCGUUCUGUAAGCCUGCGAAGGCGGAUCUGCGAGGACCGCUGGAGGUAUCAGAAGUGCGAAUGCUGACAUGAGUAACGUUAAAGCGGGUGAAAAGCCCGCUCGCCGCAAGCCCAAGGUUUCCUGCUCUACGUUCAUCGGAGCAGGGUGAGUCGGCCCCUAAGGUCAGGCUGAGAAGCGUAGCUGAUGGGAAGCUGGUUAAUAUUCCAGCACCGAUUUCAAGUGCGAAGGGGGGACGGAGUCCUGAAGGUCAUCCGGGUGUUGGAUAUCCCGGUUUACGAGCGUAGGAGGUUGACAGGCAAAUCCGUCAACGAAUCUCCAAGGCGAAGGAUCGAGGUUGAGAGAUCAACUGAAGUGACUGAAUGGGCUUCCAGGAAAAGCCUCUAAGCGUCAGCUUGGAAUUGACCGUACCGCAAACCGACACUGGUGGGCGAGCUGAAUAUGCUCAGGCGCUUGAGAGAACUCGGGAGAAGGAACUCGGCAAAUUGACACCGUAACUUCGGAAGAAGGUGUGCCGUAGUACCGUGAGAGGAGAGACACCUUGAGCGGGAAUCGGUCUCAGAGAAUAGGUGGCUGCGACUGUUUAUUAAAAACACAGCACUCUGCAAAGUCGAAAGACGACGUAUAGGGUGUGAUGCCUGCCCGGUGCUGGAAGAUUAAUUGAUGGGGUGAGAGCCCUUGAUCGAAGUCCCAGUAAACGGCGGCCGUAACUAUAACGGUCCUAAGGUAGCGAAAUUCCUUGUCGGGCAAGUUCCGACCUGCACGAAUGGCAUAAUGAUGGCCACACUGUCUCCUCCUGAGACUCAGUGAAGUUGAAAUGUUUGUGAUGAUGCAAUCUCCCCGCGGCUAGACGGAAAGACCCCAUGAACCUUUACUGCAGCUUUGCAUUGGACUUUGAACCGAUCUGUGUAGGAUAGGUGGGAGGCAGUGAAGCUAGGACGCCAGUCUUAGCGGAGCCAACCUUGAAAUACCACCCUGAUUUGUUUGAGGUUCUAACCUAGGAGCGUGAUCCGCUUCGGGGACCGUGCAUGGCAGGCAGUUUGACUGGGGCGGUCUCCUCCUAAAGGGUAACGGAGGAGUGCGAAGGU